UGCGUAGGCGGGGCAAUUAGUCAGUGGUGAAAUACUGCGGCUUAACCGUAGAACUGCCAUUGAUACUGUUGCCCUUGAGUAUAGUUGAGGUGGGCGGAAUGUGUAAUGUAGCGGUGAAAUGCAUAGAGAUUACACAGAACACCAAUUGCGAAGGCAGCUCACUAAGCUAUAACUGACGCUGAGGCACGAAAGCGUGGGGAGCGAACAGGAUUAGAUACCCUGGUAGUCC
rnacentral:rRNA from 1 species